UUCCCAGGUGCAACUGAAGGACUAUGGCUAUGGUAGCUGCCCAGGAAGACUGGCCAUCCGAUUCAUGCUUGUGCAGUCCUUGGACUUUUAGAUCUACCAGGAUCAUCACAUUUUGGAGUUCUCAGUCCUGUGUACAAAGUCCAACUAUCUGAGGCCACCAUGCACUUAGGAUGUCCAGGCCACCUGGAGAGGCUACCAGAUAUGUGUAUGAAGAAGUUGUCUUGAAAGUGGAUCUUCCAGCCCAUGUUAUUCUAGCUACAGCUGUUUGAGUCUCCUUGUACAAGCCCCAGACAUCAUGGAAUGGAGAAGAGCUGAGCCACGGUGUCCUCUCCAAAUUCUCAAUCCACAAAACUCAUGAAAAUAAUAAAAUGAUUGUGUCUUUGUGCUACUAAAUUUAGGGAAAUUUGUUAUUCAGCAAAGAUGAUUAGAACAAGAGACCACAAUUUGACUAUCAUAUUUCAGAAAUGACACAGAUCCAGAGAGGUUAAAUAAAUCAUUUUAUUCAAA
rnacentral:lncRNA from 1 species